rnacentral:tRNA from 1 species
GGACAUUUAGCUCAGCAGGUCAGAGCAGCCGGCUCAUAACCGGUCGGUCCUAGGUUCGAGCCCCAGAAUGUCCA